rnacentral:tRNA from 1 species
AAAGGGAGACCUAAUUCAGGUAGGAGACGAAAAAAAAGUAGUCCCUACCAAGAAUCAAUCCCAAAAGGUUGGAGCGAGGCAAAAUUGGCUUUCAAACUAGGUUCUGGGUUCACACAAGACCUGAAUCAGGAACAAGGGCUAUUAGCUCAGGUGGUUAGAGCGCACCCCUGAUAAGGGUGAGGUCCCUGGUUCGAGUCCAGGAUGGCCCACCUGCACAGGUGGCAAAAACAAAGAAGCGAGGAAUCAGCACCUGAUCUUGCUUAUAUAGUAAGAGAGAAUGCUGGCUCUGAGUAAAGAGUCCAGAGGAACCUUGAAAACUGCAUAGAGCUAGGUGAAAAAGCCAAAAAAGAAGACCGCAAG